CCAAAAACCAUAUAAACAUCAUCUUGUAAAGUAAAUAAAUAUAUAAGUGAUUUAGGAGUCAACACAUAUUACUCAAGAGCACCCUAUUGAGGCCCCAAGUCUCAUUGACAAGAUCUAAUUGGAGUUUAUAUCUGUAAGGCCAACACUAUGAGAAUGAAUGGGGUGAUGAGCAGAAAAAUAGUAGGGCUGGGGAGGGGACACAAAGAGAGACAUUCUCAGCACAAUGCCCAAAGGAGCUCCUUCUUUUACAUGGCUAGAUGACAAGAGGAAGUGAUGAAGUCAUAAAAGGAGUCAAUGAGAGAGAAAGAAAUGGGUGAGCGAAGUUCCUCAGUAUCAAAUAAAAUGUAGUUCAAAGGAGGAGAGGCUGGUGUGAAGAGGAAAAUGACAAAGGCACCGACUGAAGACAAAAGAAACUUCUCCAGUGGAUGAAGUUGUCCGCUGGCAUCCACAGCAAUGAUGUCCUUGCUUCCCAAAGUGUACACAUUGUUUGCUAGUGAGUGAGCUGACUGGGUUGUGCCAUCUUUCCUGCCCCCACACAUGAAGACACAUUCCUUUUGCUCUCUAAAUAACCUUGAAACAGGCUAAGCUUUCCAGAGCUCAUUUAUAGAAAUCCUCGAUUUAUGCAAACACAGUAUCAUGCAAAAGAAUUAAAAAGGAGAAACAGAAUUUGAAAUAGUAGUGCAAGGGAAGAGCUCAAUGAGGACCACCCUGGAGAUGGAGAAAAGAUCCAAAGUCUGUUUCCAAUUAUGAGCUUCUAGGAGGAGAAUGAGUUAUAUUUAAAGUAGUUCCAAACCAGGGUGAUUGCUGAGUUCUGGAGACAGACUGGGCUUCUGCUUUCUUUUGGUGGAGGUGUCUGCUUGCAGAAAAUUUAUGUUCUGGGAUUUACAACUUCAGGGAGACAAAGGAAACUCCAGCUCAUCUCCCACAUCAUUGAUUGAGAGGACCAUUUUCUGACUGUCUGCACACGUUUCCUAUACUACCCUUUAAUGCAACAAUGGGAUGAAGAGAUGAAGACUUCUAGCAGGCUACCUCAGAAAGGUUGCUGACCAAAGGCUGUAUGGACCAAAAAGUCAUAACACCACCCUGGAUGAAAGGACAUUUACCUAAGGAAUUACCCGCUCUCAAUUCUUCCCAGGUGCAUGUAGUAUAGAUUAAAUAAGGUGGUUGUAUGGCAACAGAGACAUUAUUAGAAACAUUCUUCUUGAAGUUUGACAACAAAGCAGUAGAUGUGUAUCUACUACAGAGUUGUUAGUGAAAAAAGGUAUGUUUGAAGUAAUCAAUUGGUAUUCAUUUUAAACAGUAAUGGUCUUACUGAAGCUAAGUUUAAUACAUGCUGUGUUUGGAAGUAAUUUCUUUACCACUGUGUAGAAACCUUCACAGCUGUUCUUUUUUUGUUGUUGUGUUGUUGACAUUCAGUAGCAAAUUACAAGAAUCUCUGAUGAAAACUCCUUACAGCUAGAUGUGUUCUUAUUUUUGAAUUCAGACUCAGUGUCAAUGAUCUCACUACUCUAUCUCCAAUUUUCCCAAAUACAUGGGUAAAUUGUAAGUGGAAGCUAAUUUAUCUUCAAAAAUUUGAAGGGCAGGAUAGACACUGUCUAGUUUGGAAAUAUUAAGAAUAUAAUUCU
rnacentral:lncRNA from 1 species